rnacentral:rRNA from 1 species
UACGUAGGGGGCAAGCGUUGUCCGGAAUCAUUGGGCGUAAAGCGCGUGUAGGCGGUCCGGUAAGUCGGUUGUGAAAGUCCAGGGCUCAACCCUGGGAUGCCGACCGAUACUGUCGGACUAGAGUUCGGAAGAGGCGAGUGGAAUUCCCGGUGUAGCGGUGAAAUGCGCAGAUAUCGGGAGGAACACCAACGGCGAAGGCAGCACUCUGGGCUGGAACUGACGCUGAGGAGCGAAAGCGUGGGUAGCAAACAGG